CAGCCGCCGCGGUAAUACGCAGGUGGCGAGCGUUGCCCGGACUUACUGGGCGUAAAGGGUGCGUAGGCGGCCGGACAAGUCAUAGGUUAAAGCCCGGAGCUCAACUCCGGAAAGGCCUAUGAUACUGUCUGGCUUGAGGGCCGGAGAGGCUGGCGGAAUUCCCGGUGUAGGGGUGAAAUCCGUAGAUAUCGGGAGGAACACCGGUGGGGAAGCCGGCCAGCUGGACGGUUCCUGACGCUGAGGCACGAAAGCGUGGGGAGCAAACCGGAUUAGAUCCCCGGGUAGUCCACGCCGUAAACGAUGGGCGCUAGGUGUGGGGGUGAAAGCCUCGGUGCCGUAGCUAACGCGUUAAGCGCCCCGCCUGGGGAGUACGGCCGCAAGGCUGAAACUUAAAGGAAUUGGCGGG
rnacentral:rRNA from 1 species